AGAGUUUGAUCAUGGCUCAGGACGAACGCUGGCGGCGUGCUUAACACAUGCAAGUCGAGCGGUAAGGCCCUUUCGGGGUACACGAGCGGCGAACGGGUGAGUAACACGUGAGUAACCUGCCCCUGACUCUGGGAUAAGCCCGGGAAACCGGGUCUAAUACCGGAUAUGACUCCUGCUCGCAUGGGUGGGGGUGGAAAGGUUGGUUUUCCUUCCGGUCGGGGAUGGGCUCGCGGCCUAUCAGCUUGUUGGUGGGGUGACGGCCUACCAAGGCGAUGACGGGUAGCCGGCCUGAGUGGGCGACCGGCCACACUGGGACUGAGACACGGCCCAGACUCCUGCGGGAGGCAGCAGUGGGGAAUAUUGCGCAAUGGGCGGAAGCCUGACGCAGCGACGCCGCGUGGGGAUGAAGGCCUUCGGGUUGUAAACCUCUUUUACCACUCACGCAGGCCUUGGGUUUUCCUGGGGUUGACGGUAGGUGGUGAAUAAGGACCGGCUAACUACGUGCCAGCAGCCGCGGUAAUACGUAGGGUCCGAGCGUUGUCCGGAAUUAUUGGGCGUAAAGAGCUCGUAGGCGGCCUGUCGCGUCUGCUGUGAAAGUCCGGGGCUUAACUCCGGGUGUGCAGUGGAUACGGGCAGGCUUGAGGUAGGUAGGGGAGACUGGAAUUCCUGGUGUAGCGGUGAAAUGCGCAGAUAUCAGGAGGAACACCGGUGGCGAAGGCGGGUCUCUGGGCCUUACCUGACGCUGAGGAGCGAAAGCGUGGGGAGCGAACAGGAUUAGAUACCCUGGUAGUCCACGCCGUAAACGUUGGGCGCUAGGUGUGGGGACUUUCCACGGUUUCCGUGCCGUAGCUAACGCAUUAAGCGCCCCGCCUGGGGAGUACGGCCGCAAGGCUAAAACUCAAAGGAAUUGACGG
rnacentral:rRNA from 1 species